CCUACGGUGUGCAGCAGUGGGGAAUAUUGGACAAUGGGCGAAAGCCUGAUCCAGCCAUGCCGCGUGUGUGAAGAAGGCCUUCGGGUUGUAAAGCACUUUCAGUGGGGAAGAAAGCCUUGGGGCUAAUACCCUCGAGGAAGGACAUCACCCACAGAAGAAGCACCGGCUAACUCCGUGCCAGCAGCCGCGGUAAUACGGAGGGUGCGAGCGUUAAUCGGAAUUACUGGGCGUAAAGCGCGCGUAGGCGGUCUGAUAAGCCGGUUGUGAAAGCCCCGGGCUCAACCUGGGAACGGCAUCCGGAACUGUCAGGCUAGAGUGCAGGAGAGGAAGGUAGAAUUCCCGGUGUAGCGGUGAAAUGCGUAGAGAUCGGGAGGAAUACCAGUGGCGAAGGCGGCCUUCUGGACUGACACUGACGCUGAGGUGCGAAAGCGUGGGUAGCAAACAGGAUUAGAUACCCUUGUAGU
rnacentral:rRNA from 1 species